rnacentral:SRP_RNA from 5 species
CCGUCGGCCCCUCGCGACGCUAGAUCGAAAACCCCGCCAGGGCCGGAAGGCAGCAACGGUAUCGAUCGACGCGGGCGCCGAGGCCAGCCGG